GUCGAACGAACUCUGGUAUUGAUUGGUGCUUGCAUCAUGAUUUACAUUUGAGUGAGUGGCGAACUGGUGAGUAACACGUGGGAAACCUGCCCAGAAGCGGGGGAUAACACCUGGAAACAGAUGCUAAUACCGCAUAACAACUUGGACCGCAUGGUCCGAGCUUGAAAGAUGGCUUCGGCUAUCACUUUUGGAUGGUCCCGCGGCGUAUUAGCUAGAUGGUGGGGUAACGGCUCACCAUGGCAAUGAUACGUAGCCGACCUGAGAGGGUAAUCGGCCACAUUGGGACUGAGACACGGCCCAAACUCCUACGGGAGGCAGCAGUAGGGAAUCUUCCACAAUGGACGAAAGUCUGAUGGAGCAACGCCGCGUGAGUGAAGAAGGGUUUCGGCUCGUAAAACUCUGUUGUUAAAGAAGAACAUAUCUGAGAGUAACUGUUCAGGUAUUGACGGUAUUUAACCAGAAAGCCACGGCUAACUACGUGCCAGCAGCCGCGGUAAUACGUAGGUGGCAAGCGUUGUCCGGAUUUAUUGGGCGUAAAGCGAGCGCAGGCGGUUUUUUAAGUCUGAUGUGAAAGCCUUCGGCUCAACCGAAGAAGUGCAUCGGAAACUGGGAAACUUGAGUGCAGAAGAGGACAGUGGAACUCCAUGUGUA
rnacentral:rRNA from 2 species